AUCUAUCUCUUCGUCAUUUGCGCCAGUAACGUCUACCUCUUCGUCAUUUGCACCAGUAACAUCUACCUCUUCAUUUGCACCAGUUACAUCUACCCCCUAUUCGCUUCCACCGGUUACCUCUACCCCCUUUUCCCUUCCAUCAGUUACCAACAGCACCUCUUUUGCAGUCCCCCCAGUAAUUUCUACCUUUUCUCCAGCAAUACCUAGUACUAGCAAUGCCCCUCAAGUACCCUGCACAAACAGCUCAAAAUCAGGCUCUCAACUACCGUCAUUCAGAAUUCGCCUAGUAGCUCCAAGGGGAUCCGUGACCAAAGUCGAAAUCAAUCCUCCGAUUACAACCACCACUAGAAGACCCACUACUACUCGAACUCGAAGAAUAAGGAACAAUUACGAUGGCUGCGUCAGCGGAUGCGGAGGCAGGAAGGUCCCUAUAUGUGCCAGUCCCUCGGGCGUGUCUCCUAUCGACCCAAACAGGCUUAAAGGAUUCCCAUCAGUGUGCCACAUGGCAUGCCACAAUUCGUUUAGGAAGACUUUGUACGAAAAGGUGACUGAUGGUAGAUGCGGCCAACUGCGCACCCGAAUCAGGCCUCUUGACUCCAAAACCAAGCUCAAAAAGGACGAUCUCCAGAAAGCUACAUAUACUGUCGUACAAGGAGGCCCGUCAGUCAUCGAGUUCACACCCUUGAACUCUUAGAGGCAACAUUUUUGUCAAAGUAAUUGUAGUACUCUUAAACUCCUCAGCGAGAGAGAUUAUGUCCAAUAUUGAGUCGGACAAUUUAAACCGUGCCACGUUUGAGUAAAAUUGUUAGAAUUACAGUACUGUAGAUCUACUGUAAUAAAACCAGUCAAAGGAGACUAUAUAGAGAUAAUGAGAUUUCAUGUCCUUCGAGACUAUGUACUUUGGCUCUCAAAAUACCUACGUCUUUAGAAAAUAAGAACACGAGAUUCUAUCACUGCCAAAUUGUACCAACGUACACUUGUUCAAUAUUUAUUUGAACAGGAUUAAUGUCAUAAAAUUAAGGAAUAUUGCAACACGAAAUAAAAGCGCAAUUUUAUUAGUACUAAGGAAUCAUGUAAGUAUUACCGUACCUAUUCUCAUAAAGUAACGAGUUAUGAGUAAAUUAAUUGAUGUAAAUGAAUCAAUAAAGUAGGUGAAGCAGAGCGUAACGUUCUUAUAGAGACUAAAGGAGCUUGUCAAACGCAUUUCAAUCCAACGUGUCUUUGCUCUUAGUUAUCAAAUCAGUAGUGUGUAAGUGUGUAUUGUGAAUACUAUAAAGUCUAAUAACGUUGAAUCUGCUCGCCUUUGUGAGAUGCAAGAAUAUGUUACAUUUGUCACGUAAGACGCUAGAGAAAAGGCGAGAUAUAGAAUAUUACGACUUAUCACGUACCAUCAUAAAAAACUGUAGCUAACAAUUCAUAAACCUCAUUGUAAAGACAUUUACGUUACAGUUAAUAGAUACUGUGUGUCGAUGAACGAUACAUCGUUGCAUAAUGCACAGUUUUAAUGCGAUCAGUACCCCUAGUGUAAAUUUAGUUGAUAGCGAAACGUGACGUACGCGUUUGCGUUAAGUCUCAUUUUGUAUGGGUUUUUGAACAGCGCGCCAAGCGGGACGUUUUGGAAAGUCAAAAAUCUCAUACAAAAAGACACUUAACGCAAACGCGUACGUCACGUUUCGCUGUCGAAAAUAUUUACACUAGGGGUACAGAUUCAUCUUCGUUUACUUUCAAUGUUUGAAUAUAGUUGUACCUAUGUGUGAGAAAAUAACGUAGUAUUUCAGUUACUUACACUUUUGAAAACAACGGGAUUUACGUAAGGUUUAUGUUCACUAACUGUACUAAUGUCUAGUGUAUUAAAUGAAUAGGUUUACAGGAUAUUUAUUUAGUGACCUGCAAUAAUUUACGGGCUGAAUAUAUAGGUCAUAUUGAGCAAGUUUUACAGUGGGACCAAUUCCGAAAUCGCGAAAAAGAUUUACUCUUCCAUAGAAAAUGUCAAGGUCAGACCGGCAAAAUGUAUGGAACAGCCAAUAUUUGUUUCGCGAUUUCGGGGUUGGUCCGUAGUAAAAGUUGCUCAGUAUGAUAUAUUCAUCCCGUCAAUUUUUGCAGGUGACUAAAUAAACACCCUGUAUAUUAGCAUUUGAUAUGAAUGUUUGCCAAAUGCUAUGAGUCCGUCCAUAUUUUAAUAUUAUUUUAGUAGUAAGGAUGUUUUUGUACUUAAACUAUAUUUUUAAAAUUAAAGAAAUAUUACAAAAA